CCUACGGGAGGCUGCAGUGAGGAAUAUUGGUCAAUGGGCGCAAGCCUGAACCAGCCAUCCCGCGUGCAGGAUGACGGCCCUAUGGGUUGUAAACUGCUUUUAUACAGGAAGAAAAAUCCCUACGUGUAGGGACCUGCCGGUACUGUAUGAAUAAGCAUCGGCUAACUCCGUGCCAGCAGCCGCGGUAAUACGGAGGAUGCAAGCGUUAUCCGGAUUCAUUGGGUUUAAAGGGUGCGUAGGCGGCUUUUUAAGUCAGUGGUGAAAUCCUGUCGCUCAACGAUAGAAUUGCCAUUGAUACUGAAGAGCUUGAGUUCAGUUGAGGUAAGCGGAAUGUGUAGUGUAGCGGUGAAAUGCUUAGAUAUUACACAGAACACCGAUUGCGAAGGCAGCUUACUAAACUGACACUGACGCUGAUGCACGAAAGCGUGGGGAUCGAACAGGAUUAGAUACCCCUGUAGUC
rnacentral:rRNA from 1 species